rnacentral:sRNA from 1 species
GCUGGGUGCAGUGGCGCACAUCUGUAAUCCCAGUGACUUGGGAGUCUGAGGCAGGAGGAUCAUGAGUUCAAAGCCAGCCUCAACAAAAAAGUGAGGCACUAAGCAACUCAUGAAACCCUAUCUCUA